CGAGUAAGCCAGACAAUCGCUGCGCAGUAUUGCGGAGAGGAAAGUCCGAGCUCCAUAGGGCAAGGGUGCUGGGUAACUCCCAGUGAAGGCGACUUUAAGGAAAGUGCAACAGAGAUAUACCGCUAAAGGUAUUCUAGUAGUUUAGCUUGCUAAAUAUCUGAAUAUACUAGUAAGGAUGGAAAGGCGAGGUAAGAGCUCACCAGCGCAAUGGCGACUUUGCGGCUAUGUAAACCCCACCUGGAGCAAGAUCGAAUAGGAGAACAUCAUGAGACUGCCCGUCUCGUUCUCGGGUGUAUCGCUUGAGCUUAUUGGUAACAAUAGGCCUAGAUAGAUGAUUGUCUAAUACAGAACUCGGCUUAUAGGCUUAAUCGUACC
rnacentral:RNase_P_RNA from 2 species